GACGAACGCUGGCGGCGUGCCUAAUACAUGCAAGUAGAACGCAGUUGCGAACGGGUGAGUAACGCGUAGGUAACUGCCUCAUAGCGGGGGAUAACUAUUGGAAACGAUAGCUAAUACCGCAUACUGUGCGAUGGACCUGCGUUGUAUUAGCUAGUUGGUGAGGUAACUGCUCACCAAGGCGACGAUACAUAGCCGACCUUAGAGGGUUAUCGGGCAAACUGGGACUGAGAAACGGCCCAGACUCCUACGGGAGGGAGCAGUAGGGAAUUUGCGGCAAUUGACGGAAGUCUGACCGAGGAACGCCGCGUGAGGGAAGAAGGUUUUCGGGUCGUAAAGCUCUGUUGUUAGAGAAGCGUUAACUACCCAGAAAGGGACGGCUAACUACGUGCCAGCCGCCGCGGUAAUAC
rnacentral:rRNA from 1 species